rnacentral:snoRNA from 1 species
AAGAGGCCUCUUCAUACCUCCUUGCUCGCCAGGGGUUAAGCACCAUCAUAGCACAUUGCUAGCACAUAACUGGGGCUGCCUGUCCAUCGUGGGUGGCCCCUUUAACCUCCAGCUACAGGG